UUUUUCAGUAUAUGUAUUGAAGGUCAGUCCACAAAGGCAUGAAUAAUAGUGUUAAACAACAUCCAGGUUUUGCAUCUCUUUGUGCCGACGAGAGAUUGGAGCCAUGAGAUAAAAUUACACAUCUUUAAUCCUAAAACUAUAAAUUUUGAUCAAAUUAUUUGCAAAUUUGCGCGGACUUUUCCUGAAAAAAACAAUAGUAUGCCUUCGGAGUCAAAUCAAUAGAGCAGAAGUUCAGCAUCGCUAUUGCUGUAUAAGUGAAUUUUGACCUCCAUGUUUUCUGGAAGUGAUUACUCGCUCCCAUUGUCGCCCAAUGUAUCAUUUGGAUCAAUAUUUCCAAUUUCCUCCAUGGAAUUUGAUUAGGGGUGUACAUGAAGUUUCUUCUACAGGCUACAUAUACUGAGUUGUCCCAGGAAAAUUUUUAUUGUGCUCUUAUACCAGGAGUUCGGGAUACAUUAAUAGCAAACAACUUUACAAAUAAAUUGAAAUUACCAAUUGCCGUUGUAUUGGUUUAAUUAUUUUUUUAAUCAUUGGAGACUGAUAAGUUUUACAACUUGAACAUGGGCGGAUUCUUCAUGAGACGAUCCUCUCUGAUGGAAGUACAAGUGUGAAGGAAUAUUUAUACGAGUAUAUCCUUCAUCUGAGAUAAACUCUAAGAACUAAAUAAAUUCCGAAUUCAAUUACGACCUCUUCUGUAGCAUCCUUUUGGAGGUACCCUCAAUCUCUGUCUGUAGUCCGG
rnacentral:lncRNA from 1 species